rnacentral:rRNA from 1 species
CUACGGGUGGCUGCAGUGGGGAAUAUUGCACAAUGGAGGAAACUCUGAUGCAGCAACGCCGCGUGGAGGAUGACACAUUUCGGUGCGUAAACUCCUUUUAUAUAGGAAGAUAAUGACGGUACUAUAUGAAUAAGCGCCGGCUAACUCCGUGCCAGCAGCCGCGGUAAUACGGAGGGCGCAAGCGUUACUCGGAAUCACUGGGCGUAAAGAGCGUGUAGGCGGAUAGAUAAGUCAGGAGUGAAAUCCUAUGGCUCAACCAUAGAACUGCUCUUGAAACUGUCUAUCUAGAGUGUGGGAGAGGUAGAUGGAAUUUCUGGUGUAGGGGUAAAAUCCGUAGAGAUCAGAAGGAAUACCGAUUGCGAAGGCGAUCUACUGGAACAUAACUGACGCUGAGACGCGAAAGCGUGGAGAGCAAACAGGAUUAGAUACCCGGUAGUC